AACAUUUUGUGGACCACAUGUGCCCCCACCUAACCCCACUACCCAUCAUUCUCAUCCACUCAAUUUCACCCACAUCUCUUUUCUCUUUUGGCCGGCCCUCUCUUUUCUUUCUUUCAUUUUCUCUCUUUUCAUUUUACUGAAACACACACACACUCACCCGCCAGCCUCCACUCCAAAACACACCAUCUCACCAUCAUUUUUCCGACAAGAUCACCGGAAAAAUACUUAGGAACUCCAAAGCAUCUUCAUCAUUUUAUUUGAGGUUCUAGCUAAUCUCCCCUUGGAGCUUGGAGAAUUAGGAUUUUGCGGUUGCGAGGUAAGUAGCUUUUUAAUGGGUAUUUUUGGAAAAUAAC